AUGUUUACCCUGGCAGCACGUAUACUAAAAUUGGAGUGACGCAGAGAUUAGCAUAGCCUCUGCACAAGGAUGACACAAAAAUUUGUGAAAGCAUUCCAUAUUUUU